rnacentral:rRNA from 1 species
AUUGAACGCUAGCGGGAUGCCUUACACAUGCAAGUCGAACGGAGUGGCGAACGGGUGAGUAAUGUAUCGGAACGUGCCCAGUAGCGGGGGAUAACUACGCGAAAGCGUAGCUAAUACCGCAUACGAUUGGAGCGGCUGAGAUCGGAUGAGCUAGGUGGUGGGGUAACGGCUGACCAAGGCGACGAUCCGUCGCUGGUUUGAGAGGACGACCAGCCACACUGGGACUGAGACACGGCCCAGACUCCUACGGUAGGCAGCAGGGGGGAAUUUUGGACAAUGGGGGAAACCCUGAUCCAGCCAUCCCGCGUGUGCGAUGAAGGCCUUCGGGUUGUAAAGCACUUUUGGCAGGAAAGCGGUACCUGCAGAAUAAGCACCGGCUAACUCCGUGCCAGCAGCCGCGGUAAUUC